UACGAAGGGGGCUAGCGUUGUUCGGAUUUACUGGGCGUAAAGCGCACGUAGGCGGAUCGUUAAGUCGGGGGUGAAAUCCUGGAGCUCAACUCCAGAACUGCCUUCGAUACUGGCGAUCUCGAGUCCGGAAGAGGUGAGUGGAACUCCUAGUGUAGAGGUGGAAUUCGUAGAUAUUAGGAAGAACACCAGUGGCGAAGGCGGCUCACUGGUCCGGUACUGACGCUGAGACGCGAAAGCGUGGGGAGCAAACAGG
rnacentral:rRNA from 1 species